rnacentral:rRNA from 1 species
GAUGAACGCUGGCGGCGUGCCUAAUACAUGCAAGUCGAGCGAACAGAUGAGGAGCUUGCUCCUCUGACGUUAGCGGCGGACGGGUGAGUAACACGUGGAUAACCUACCUAUAAGACUGGGAUAACUUCGGGAAACCGGAGCUAAUACCGGAUAAUAUAUUGAACCGCAUGGUUCAAUAGUGAAAGACGGUUUUGCUGUCACUUAUAGAUGGAUCCGCGCCGCAUUAGCUAGUUGGUAAGGUAACGGCUUACCAAGGCGACGAUGCGUAGCCGACCUGAGAGGGGGAUAGGCCACACUGGAACGGGGACACGGUCCAGACUCCUACGGGAGGCAGCAGUAGGGAAUCUGCCGCAAUGGGCGAAAGCCUGACGGAGCAACGCCGCGUGAGUGAUGAAGGUCUUCGGAUCGUAAAACUCUGUUAUUAGGGAAGAACAAAUGUGUAAGUAACUAUGCACGUCUUGACGGUACCUAAUCAGAAAGCCACGGCUAACUACGUG